CCUACGGGAGGCAGCAGUGAGGGAUAUUGGUCAAUGGACGAGAGUCUGAACCAGCCAAGUAGCGUGAAGGAUGACUGCCCUAUGGGUUGUAAACUUCUUUUAUAUGGGAAUAAAAUGUUCCACGUGUGGGAUUUUGUAUGUACCAUAUGAAUAAGGAUCGGCUAACUCCGUGCCAGCAGCCGCGGUAAUACGGAGGAUCCGAGCGUUAUCCGGAUUUAUUGGGUUUAAAGGGAGCGUAGGUGGAUUGUUAAGUCAGUUGUGAAAGUUUGCGGCUCAACCGUAAAAUUGCAGUUGAAACUGGCAGUCUUGAGUACAGUAGAGGUGGGCGGAAUUCGUGGUGUAGCGGUGAAAUGCUUAGAUAUCACGAAGAACUCCGAUUGCGAAGGCAGUUCACUGGACUGCAACUGACACUGAGGCUCGAAAGUGUGGGUAUCAAACAGGAUUAGAUACCCCUGUAGUC
rnacentral:rRNA from 1 species